UACGUAGGGGGCAAGCGUUGUCCGGAAUCAUUGGGCGUAAAGAGCGUGUAGGCGGUCCGGUAAGUCGGCUGUGAAAGUCCAGGGCUCAACCCUGGGAUGCCGGUCGAUACUGCCGGACUAGAGUUCGGAAGAGGCGAGUGGAAUUCCCGGUGUAGCGGUGAAAUGCGCAGAUAUCGGGAGGAACACCUAUGGCGAAGGCGACUUCCUGGCCUGUUCUUGACGCUGAGGCGCGAAAGCUAGGGGAGCAAACGGG
rnacentral:rRNA from 1 species